GACGAACGCUGGCGGCGUGCCUAAUACAUGCAAGUUGAGCGAUGAAGAUUGGUGCUUGCACCAAUUUGAAGAUCAUCGAACGGGUGAGUAACGCGUGGGGAAUCUGCCUUUGAGCGGGGGACAACAUUUGGAAACGAAUGCUAAUACCGCAUAAUAACUUUAAACAUAAGUUUUAAGUUUGAAAGAUGCAAUUGCAUCACUCAAAGAUGAUCCCGCGUUGUAUUAGCUAGUUGGUGAGGUAAAGGCUCACCAAGGCGAUGAUACAUAGCCGGCCUGAGAGGGUGAUCGGCCACAUUGGGACUGAGACACGGCCCAAACUCCUACGGGAGGCAGCAGUAGGGAAUCUUCGGCAAUGGACGAAAGUCUGACCGAGCAACGCCGCGUGAGUGAAGAAGGUUUUCGGAUCGUAAAACUCUGUUGGUAGAGAAGAACGUUGGUGAGAGUGGAAAGCUCAUCAAGUGACGGUAACUACCCAGAAAGGGACGGCUAACUACGUG
rnacentral:rRNA from 1 species